rnacentral:rRNA from 1 species
UAGGGAAUCUUCGGCAAUGGACGAAAGUCUGACCGAGCAACGCCACGUGAGUGAAGAAGGUUUUCGGAUCGUAAAACUCUGUUGGUAGAGAAGAACGUUGGUGAGAGUGGAAAGCUCAUCAAGUGACGGUAACUACCCAGAAAGGGACGGCUAACUACGUGCCAG